UGGGGAAUAUUGCACAAUGGGGGAAACCCUGAUGCAGCGACGCCGCGUGAACGAAGAAGGUAUUCGUAUCGUAAAGUUCUGUCCUAUGGGAAGAUAAUGACAGUACCAUAGAAGAAAGCUCCGGCUAAAUACGAGCCAGCAGCCGCGGUAAUACGUAUGGAGCGAGCGUUGUCCGGAAUUAUUGGUCGUAAAGGGUACGCAGGCGGUUUAAUAAGUCGAAUGUUAAAGAUCGGGGCUCAACCCCGCAAAGCAUUGGAAACUGAUAAACUUGAGUAGUGGAGAGGAAAGUGGAAUUCCUAGUGUAGUGGUGAAAUACGUAGAUAUUAGGGGGAAUACCAGUAGCGAAGGCGACUUUCUGGACACAAACUGACGCUGAGGUACGAAAGCGUGGGGAGCAAACAGG
rnacentral:rRNA from 1 species